AUUUUCAGCCUCUUUACAGCCGUUCACUUCCACAAGAUCUACAAAUUUGACAUCUACUGUCUCUUUACAGCCGGUCAUUUUCACAACAUCUACAGGUUCAACAUCUACUGUUCCUCUACAGCCGGUCACUUCCACAACAUCUACCAGUCCCACUACUACAGUCUCUUCACAGCCGGUCACUUCCACAACAUCUACCAGUCCCACUACAG